rnacentral:rRNA from 1 species
UACGGAGGGGGCGAGCGUUAUUCGGAAUUAUUGGGCGUAAAGGGCGCGUAGGCGGCCCGGUAAGUCAAAGGUGAAAUCCCUCGGCUCAACUGAGGAACUGCCUUUGAAACUGUCGGGCUUGAGGCCGGGAGGGGGUAGCGGAAUUCCCAGUGUAGCGGUGAAAUGCGUAGAUAUUGGGAGGAACACCGGUGGCGAAGGCGGCUACCUGGACCGGUUCUGACGCUGAUGCGCGAAAGCGUGGGGAGCAAAAGGG